UUUGCGAAGCUAUUUUGCUUAAGCUCCUAUGAAUACAUCAAUUAUAUUAGCCCUGAAAGCGUCUGUCAGUGCAAUGUUAAAAGGUCCACUAUUUUACAGACUGCCCACUUUAGAAACAAAAUACCCUUCAAACUCCCUGCCCUGAAUUGCUUGGGCCGAAGAGAGCUCCAGAGGGGGAAGAAAAGUAUAAACUCUGCUGGACCAAGAAAGAGAAGGCCCACCAGUUUUCAGUAAACUUGUAUUCAUAUUGGCCAGCUUAAUAAAAUCCACGGCCACCCGCUAGCACUUGUGUGCUUGCAAAUUCCUCAACAAGGCAGGAAAAAAUGCUCUUUUGUGAUAGAAGGUACGAGACCAAAGAGAAGGUUGUCAGAGGCCCCACCCCCUCUGGCCCAACUGUGCUUAGAGCCAUAAUUGGGAAGAGAAUAGACAUGCUGCAGAAAUACCCGGUCCUGGGGUUUUCCUUCAGGGCAGCUCUCUGGCCUCCCAGUUGAGAAGUCUGUAGCACCCGGACACACACCGAAUCAGGUUUGCAUCAAGAGAAGCAAAAUAUGGUUGGAGACAGCCCACAGGCCUUUGCAUAUAUGGGGAAAAAAGUAAUCAUGGCAGUUCAUAAUGGUGCCGUUCCUAGUGGACUUUAUUAUUACCUGAUGAUCGUCAAGUCAACUGCAGUCACCCUUGGCUAAACUUCCAGAAGUGGAGUGAGCUCAAAGCUGUUGUUGUCAUAUAUCAUAUGUUCUUUCCAGAGUCCCUCUACCCCUGCCUCUUCCAGUCAUCUCUGUCCCCAAUCCCCACCACCCUCUAUUGCUUACCUUGGCUAACCCUCCUGAAAUGGGAGAGUUUGAAGCCUUCAUGCUAUGUGCAUAGCCAACAUUCCACAAGAUUUAUGUCACAAAAGCCUGCGGAAAGGACAAAUGGUGGGAAAGAAGGAAAAAAAAGGGGGGGGGGGACUUAAAUUUACUACUCCCCACCUCCAAAUAUAAAUAACAGAUUCUAGCGUAAAACACGAUUCCAAGAAGUCAGAGGGGACAGACACUAUGUUGCCUCCGUUCACUAGG
rnacentral:lncRNA from 12 species